UAGUUCGAUCAUGGCUCAGGAUGAACGCUGGCGGCAUGCCUAAUACAUGCAAGUCGAACGGAGUGAAGCCUUCGGGUUUCAUUCAGUGGCGAACGGGUGAGUAAUACGCAGGGAACCUGGCCAUGGCAGGGGGAUACACUCUGGAAACGGAGCAUAAGACCCCAUAGGCAGUAAGGCGGCAUCGCCUUACUGUUAAAGAAAGCUGAAAGGCUUUGGCGAUGGAUGGACCUGCGGUGCAUUAGCUUGUUGGUGAGGCAACGGCUUACCAAGGCGAUGAUGCAUAGCCGGCCUGAGAGGGCGGACGGCCACACUGGGACUGAGACACGGCCCAGACUCCUGCGGGAGGCAGCAGUAGGGAAUUUUCGUCGAUGGGCGCAAGCCUGAACGAGCAAUGCCGCGUGAGUGAGGAAGGUCUUCGGACUGUAAAGCUCUGUUGCCGGGGAAAAAGGGGAAAUGCAGGAAAUGGCAUUUCAUGGAUGGUACCCGGCCAGAAAGCCACGGCUAACUACGUGCCAGCAGCCGCGGUAAUACGUAGGUGGCGAGCGUUAUCCGGAAUGAUUGGGCGUAAAGGGUGCGCAGGCGGUCUGUUAAGUCUGAAGGCAAAGGGAUGAGCUCAACUCAUUUAUGAUUCAGAAACUGGCAGACUUGAGGACAGGAGAGGGCGGUGGAACUCCAUGUGUAGCGGUAAAAUGCGCAGAGAUAUGGAAGAACACCAGUGGCGAAGGCGGCCGCCUGGCCUGUGACUGACGCUGAGGCACGAAAGCGUGGGGAGCAAAUAGGAUUAGAUACCCUAGUAGUCCACGCCGUAAACGAUGAGGAGCAGGUGUUGGGAGUGAAAUCUCAGUGCCGAAGCCAACGCAGUGACUCCUCCGCCUGGGGAGUAUGCACGCAAGUGUGAAACUCAAAGGAAUUGACGGGGGCCCGCACAAGCGGUGGAGUAUGUGGUUUAAUUCGAAGCAACGCGAAGAACCUUACCAGGUUUUGACAUCGGAUGCGAAGGCGCAGAGAUGCGCUGGAGGCUAUCAUCCAGACAGGUGGUGCAUGGUUGUCGUCAGCUCGUGUCGUGAGAUGUUCAGUUAAGUCUGGCAACGAGCGCAACCCCCGUGGUAUGUUACUAACGCAUUUGGGCGAGGACUCAUAUCAGACUGCCGGUGACAAACCGGAGGAAGGCGGGGAUGACGUCAAAUCAUCAUGCCCCUUAUGACCUGGGCUACACACGUACUACAAUGGCGUCUACAGAGGGAAGCGACCCUGAGAAGGGAAGCGAAACCGGAAAAGGGCGUCCCAGUUCGGAUUGAAGUCUGCAACCCGACUUCAUGAAGAUGGAAUCGCUAGUAAUCGCGGAUCAGCAUGCCGCGGUGAAUACGUUCCCGGGCCUUGUACACACCGCCCGUCAAACCAUGGAAGCCGGCAACGCCCGAAGCCGGUGGCAUAACCUUUUAGGAGUGAGCCGUCGAAGGCGGGGCCGAUGACUGGGGUUAAGUCGUAACAAGGUAGCC
rnacentral:rRNA from 1 species